GAUGAACGCUAGCGGCAGGCCUAAUACAUGCGAGUCGAACGAUACUUUCCAGCUUGCUGGAGAGGAAAGUGGCGGACGGGUGCGUAACGCGUAUGCAACCUACCUUAAUCAGGGGGAUAGCCCGAAGAAAUUCGGAUUAACACCGCAUAAAAUCACAGUAUAGCAUUAUACAAUGAUCAAAUAUUUACAGGAUUAAGAUGGGCAUGCGUGACAUUAGUUAGUUGGCGGGGUAACGGCCCACCAAGACCACGAUGAGUAGGGGAUCUGAGAGGAUGACCCCCCACACUGGUACUGAGACACGGACCAGACUCCUACGGGAGGCAGCAGUAAGGAAUAUUGGUCAAGAGAGGCAACUCUGAACCAGCCAUGCCGCGUGCAGGAAGACAGCCCUCUGGGUCGUAAACUGCUUUUAUUCGGGAAUAAACCUAUCUACGUGUAGAUAGCUGAAUGUUCCGAAGGAAUAAGGAUCGGCUAACUCCGUGCCAGCAGCCGCAGUAA
rnacentral:rRNA from 1 species